AACGUGUUUUGUCCACUGAAGUAUAGGUUUAUGGUUUUGUCGGAAGAAGAAAGGAAAAUAAUAAUAUGCAGAUUAUAAACAACCAAUUUCUUCAUCGAUCUAAAUAAGUCAAUUUCGAGUAUAAGUAAAUUUGUAUAGCGGGACGAGCGAACAUUUACGUAGCGAUACAUCGUGCUCGUAAGGAUAUGGUGGCAAUAAGAAAUAUUUUCAAGAAUUAGUUUGCUCUUUUCCUACCUCGAUUGAGUUCUUCCUUAAACGAGGCUUGAACGCGCAUUGUUGAGCGACAAGUUUUGGGCUGCCGACCGACCACGUGUAGGCCUAAACUUAGCGAUUCCUCCCGGGUUCAGAAAGAUAAGGACAUCGAAUACUGUUUUUUUUUUCUGGAACAAGCUAAUAACAGUACAUAAUAUCUACUGUUAUUUUUCCAAAGUUUUUUUUAGUUUCUCCUUCAAUUUCUGUGUCACUCUUUUAUUGUACUAUUGUAAUUUUUUAUAACUAUGCAGUUAGCAUUAAAUGUAAAUAAAUGUGUGAUUUAUACAAAAUAGGCAC